rnacentral:rRNA from 1 species
AUUGAACGCUGGCGGCAGGCCUAACACAUGCAAGUCGAGCGGAUGAAGGGAGCUUGCUCCUGGAUUCAGCGGCGGACGGGUGAGUAAUGCCUAGGAAUCUGCCUGGUAGCGGGGGAUAACGUCCGGAAACGGGCGCUAAUACCGCAUACGUCCUGAGGGAGAAAGUGGGGGAUCUUCGGACCUCACGCUAUCAGAUGAGCCUAGGUCGGAUUAGCUAGUUGGUGGGGUAAAGGCCUACCAAGGCGACGAUCCGUAACUGGUCUGAGAGGAUGAUCAGUCACACUGGAACUGAGACACGGCCCAGACUCCUACGGGAGGCAGCAGUGGGGAAUAUUGGACAAUGGGCGAAAGCCUGAUCCAGCCAUGCCGCGUGUGUGAAGAAGGUCUUCGGAUUGUAAAGCACUUUAAGUUGGGAGGAAGGGCAGUAAGUUAAUACCUUGCUGUUUUGACGUUACCAACAGAAUAAGCACCGGCUAACUUCGUG